rnacentral:rRNA from 1 species
UACGUAGGGUGCGAGCGUUAAUCGGAAUUACUGGCGUAAAGCGUGCGCAGGCGGUUUGUAAGCCAGAUGUGAAAUCCCCGGCUUAACCUGGAAUGGCAUUUGGACUGCAAGGCUGGAGUACGGCAGAGGAGACUGGAAUUCCGUGGUGUAGCAGUGAAAUGCGUAGAGAUCAGGAGGAAUACCGAGUGGCGAAGGCAGGUCUCUGGCUGAUACUGACGCUCAUGCAC